rnacentral:rRNA from 1 species
CCUACGGGUGGCAGCAGUGAGGAAUAUUGGUCAAUGGACGAGAGUCUGAACCAGCCAAGUAGCGUGAAGGAUGACUGCCCUAUGGGUUGUAAACUUCUUUUAUAUGGGAAUAAAACGUUCCACGUGUGGGAUUUUGUAUGUACCAUAUGAAUAACGAUCGGCUAACUCCGUGCCAGCAGCCGCGGUAAUACGGAGGAUCCGAGCGUUAUCCGGAUUUAUUGGGUUUAAAGGGAGCGUAGGUGGAUUGUUAAGUCAGUUGUGAAAGUUUGCGGCUCAACCGUAAAAUUGCAGUUGAAACUGGCAGUCUUGAGUACAGUAGAGGUGGGCGGAAUUCGUGGUGUAGCGGUGAAAUGCUUAGAUAUCACGAAGAACUCCGAUUGCGAAGGCAGUUCACUGGACUGCAACUGACACUGAGGCUCGAAAGUGUGGGUAUCAAACAGGAUUAGAUACCCUUGUAGUC